AAAACAAGGUUGGUAUAUUUACUGUAUUACUUCGCAGGGAGUUAAACAUACGUCGGGAGAUGAUAUUGAGGCCCUGACUAUAGAUGUAUUUUCAUUUCCAGAUAACUACCCAAUUGAGCGGUAUCGUUUUUCUUCUCAGUCCAUCAGUCAUGUAGCUUCCAAAACCUUAUCCGUCCUCAUAUCACCAAUGUCACCCAUCGUGGACAUGCUCUUACAUCACAGCAGAUCCUUUGUGUUACAGGUUAUUUUUUUGCAAACGGCAGUUUUCUUUACAAGAUUGGUGAUGCAGAGCAUAUUAGUAAAGCCACUGUAUGCAGGGCCAUCAGGAGAAUGUUACUCGCUCUAAAACGUUUUCUAAACCUUUUCUGCAGUGUUCCCUGGACU